GACGAACGCUGGCGGCGUGCUUAACACAUGCAAGUCGAACGGAAAGGCCCUGCUUUUGUGGGGUGCUCGAGUGGCGAACGGGUGAGUAACACGUGAGUAACCUGCCCUUGACUUUGGGAUAACUUCAGGAAACUGGGGCUAAUACCGGAUAGGAGCUCCUGCUGCAUGGUGGGGGUUGGAAAGUUUCGGCGGUUGGGGAUGGACUCGCGGCUUAUCAGCUUGUUGGUGGGGUAGUGGCUUACCAAGGCUUUGACGGGUAGCCGGCCUGAGAGGGUGACCGGACACAUUGGGACUGAGAUACGGGACAGACUCCUACGGGAGACAGCAGUGGGGAAUAUUGCAUAAUGGGCGGAAGCCUGAUGCAGCAACGGCGCGUGCGGGAUGACGGCCUUCGGGUUGGAAACCGCUUUCGCAUGUGACGAAGCGUGAGUGACGGUACUGGGUAAAGAAGCACCGGCUAACUACGUG
rnacentral:rRNA from 1 species